rnacentral:rRNA from 1 species
AGAUGCGAUCAUACCAGCACUAAAGCACCGGAUCCCAUCAGAACUCCGAAGUUAAGCUUGCUUUGGUGAGAGUAGUACUAGGAUGGGUGACCUCUUGGGAAGUCCUCGUGUUGCAUUCC